AAUGCCUGGCGCCGCAGGUGUGGCCACCACCCAGCUACAGAGCCACUGAGCCCCGCCACCCUUGUUCUCACGCUGGGAAAGGCAGCAGAAAAUCGUGCAGAGAGUGCCGAGUCGGUCAGCGUCGUCCGGAUUUUCAUUCAGGCAACUGACUUAGUCAGACAUACUGGGAGCAUCGGGGGCCUUAAAGGUGCCACAACAAAGAUGUCCGCUCGUCCAGAAGUGGCUUUUGCCACAACAAAGAUGGUGGCAAGAAAGGGCGGAAGUCACGUGAUGCCACACACAAGAUUGGCUGCGUGGUUGCGGCUUGCUUGACGUUCCAAAGAUGGCGGCCAAAAAAAGCAGGAAAAUGCAGGGACCUGGGGAGGUGGGUGUCUACUCGACUGCCUGACAAACACCCCGACUCCGACGCCGCUCCGGUGCAAUUUUCCGCGGCUUUUCCAGCUGUGCGGACAAGGUCUGUGGGCUCAGCAAUGCCGGGGCCAGGCAUGAUCUGGCUGGGCGCUGACAGGCACCGGUGGUGACGCCUCUCUCUGCCGGGGUCCUUGCUGUGGCCGCCAGCUUGGGUGUGGAUCCUCCCCUGUCCAGUCCUGUCCCGUCCCCUGCUACUGCUUCUCUCGCUCUCCCCUCUCCCCUCCAGCUGGGGGAAAUGGAGGAAAACACAAUUGCAUCGGGCCGGAACAGUCAGCGGAGCUGCUUGACCAUUUCUCCUGCCCGCAGAGGCUCCCCGGUGCUGGGACUAAACCAGUCGGAGGAGGCACCUGCUCACUGUGCUGGAACAGUGAGAGGUGCGGGCAGGGUCGAGGCUUAUCAACCUACUAUAUAACUACCUGUCCAAGCAUGGUGUUCGCUAAACACCUCCGCGUGGUGAGAGACGAGCUCGGGAAGAAAUACCUUCAAUCCACCGAUGAGGCAGACAGGACUCAAUACAAGGAGGACUGGACACAGAUGAAGAUAAAGUCCUUGACAGUCUGUUUAUUCCCCAUAACAAGUACUUCAUUUGUGUAUUCCAGGCCAUGUGCUGCAGGGCACAUUGGAAGGUACACAAGUGACUCUUCUGCUCAUGUUGAAGUGGACAUGCGUGUUCCUCAUGCACCAUGACAUGAGCUAAGAGAGUAUGCCGAGGUGGGCCUGACCAGUUGUAAAGGCCAGAUCUUUGUUGCCCUCAUUUCAGUGAAGGAAACUGGGAUUUCUUCUUGUAUUCAGCACCACGCGUGGGUGUAAAGUUCAGCUGCCACCUGCCAGUUGAGGAUUGCUUUGGUCAAGGAGAGGAAUUUUUGCCUAGGAAGAUUUGGCACUCCUGUUUCUCUUGCAUGGUGGAGGCCACCCAAGAUCUAAAUGUUGCAACAAGUGUCCCAAGCUACUUCCAGUCCGUACUUAAAAAUUUCUGUCUCUGCGACUGGAGUGAUUCUGUGCCUUACCCAGAGAUGGUGCAUUCUGGCUUUUCAGUGUGAACAGCGGUGCUCCCAAGUUUUAAAGUUUCAACCUUUCUCUUGUAGGUUAAGAUGAGCACAGCUCUAAGUAGUCUAUCUUGGGGUUCAUCUCAGAAGGAGAGAUUUCAUUUGGGGUUACAGAGAAGACAUGCCUUCCCUGCAAGGAGCAGUAAAGAAAAUCCACAGCCUCUUGGAGAGGCUUAAACUUGAAAAAGUUUUUGUAGUCACUGAUGCUGUUGAGGAAG